AACUUUUGACAACGGAUCACUUGGCUCUCGCAUCGAUGAAGAACGCAGCGAAAUGCGAUAAGUAAUGUGAAUUGCAGAAUUCAGUGAAUCAGCGAAUCUUUGAACGCACCUUGCGCCCUUUGGCUAUUCCGAAGGGCAUGCCUGUUUGAGUAUCAUGAACACCUCAACUCUCAUGGUUUGCCAUGAUGAGCUUGGACUUUGGAGGUCUUGCGGGCCUACGGUCGGCUCCUCUCAAAUGAAUCAGCUUGCCAGUGUUUGGUGGCGUCACGGGUGUGAUAACUAUCUACGCUUGUGGUUUUCACCAGGUAACCUUCAGCGAUGGAGGUUCGCUGGAGCUCACAAAUGUCUCUCCUCGGUGAGGACAGCUUUUGAACAUUUGAUCUCAAAUCAGGUAGGACUACCCGCUGAACUUAAGCAUAUCAAUAAGCGGAGGCU
rnacentral:misc_RNA from 1 species